rnacentral:rRNA from 1 species
GAUGGCAUCUGAUCCAGCCAUGCCGCGUGCGUGAAGACGGCCCUAUGGGUUGUAAACUGCUUUUGUGUGGAAGAAAUAAGGACUACGUGUAGUUUGAUGAGAGUACCAUACCAAUAAGCAUCGGCUAACUCCGUGCCAGCAGCCGCGGUAAUACGGAGGAUGCGAGCGUUAUCCGGAUUUAUUGGGUUUAAAGGGUGCGUAGGCAGCGAUAUAAGUCAGUGGUGAAAUAUUUCUGCUUAACCGAAAGACUGCCAUUGAUACUGUGUUGCUAGAAUAUGGUUGCUGUGAGUGGAAUGUGUGGUGUAGCGGUGAAAUGCUUAGAUAUCACACAGAAUAUCGAUUGCGAAGGCAGCUCACAAAGCCAUUAUUGACGCUGAGGCACGAAAGUGUGGGGAUCAAACACGAUUACAUACCCUGGUAGUCCACACUGUAGACGAUGAUCACUCGCUGUCGGCGAUAGACAGUCGGUGGCCAAGCGAAAGCGAUAAGUUAUCCACCUGGGGAGUAGGACCGCAAGGUUG